rnacentral:misc_RNA from 1 species
GAUGAAGAACGUAGCGAAAUGCGAUAAGUAAUGUGAAUUGCAGAAUUCAGUGAAUCAUCGAAUCUUUGAACGCACAUUGCGCCCUCUGGUAUUCCGGGGGGCAUGCCUGUUCGAGCGUCAUUAUAACCACUCAAGCUCUCGCUUGGUAUUGGGGUUCGCGGUUCCGCGGCCCCUAAAAUCAGUGGCGGUGCCUGUCGGCUCUACGCGUAGUAAUACUCCUCGCGAUUGAGUCCGGUAGGUCUACUUGCCAGCAACCCCCAAUUUUUACAGGUUGACCGCGGAUCAGGUAGGGAUACCCGCUGAACUUAAGCAUAUCAAUAAGCGGAGGA